GAGAGCGAGGGGGCGGA
rnacentral:tRNA from 1 species